AUGGCUGGAAACAAACACAGUCGCAGCUCCUGUAAGCCUAGAAGACAGUGCCUUUCCCGUUCCAGAAGAGCGGAGCUGCAGUUUCCUGUUAGCCACAUGGAACGCUGCCUGCGAGAAGGUCAGUAUGCCCGGCACCUGAGCUCAACCACACCUGUUUUCCUGGCUGCUGUUCUCGAGUACCUGACAGCCAACAUCCUGGAACAGGCAGGCAAGGAGGCCCAGAACAGCCACAGGGUGUGCAUCACCCCAGAACACCUGAAGAGAGCACUGCAAAAGAAUGAGCAGCUAAGAUGGAUCUUGGAGG
rnacentral:lncRNA from 1 species